rnacentral:hammerhead_ribozyme from 1 species
AUUCAGCUGACGAGUACCGAAUAAGACGAAACGCGUGUCCUGGAU